rnacentral:tRNA from 1 species
GCCAGGUUGCCCGAGCGGCCAAUGGGAGCGGACUGUAAAUCCGUCGGCUUUGCCUUCCAAGGUUCGAAUCCUUGACCUGGCACCA